AUGCUCACUUCGGCAGCACAUAUACUAAAAUUGGAAGGAUACAGAGAAGAUUAGUAUGGCCCCUGUGCAAGGAUAACAUGCAAAUUCGUGAUGCAUAUCAUGUUUUU
rnacentral:snRNA from 1 species